GGUCCCACACCAACGUCCCAGGGGAUGGACACUAGUGUGGCCUUUCUGCUCCAGGGAGGUGAGAAGAGCAGGGAGACCCGGGAUGAGUGGCUGCAAGGGGUCAGAUGGCCUGGGUGUGGGUGAGGGUCUGCCUGCCUGCUUGUCUCUGUCUCUGGGUGUCUGAGUUCCAAAAAUUGUGUGGUGUUUGUUGCUCCUCCUCCUCUUCUAAGACUGUUUUUAAAUGCUUGAUUGUGGGAGAAAAGCUUGUAUGACAUUUUCCCUUUCAUCUCUCCACCUCCCAAAAAAACUAACCGGGGAAUAAACUGGCUCACUGUGGAGCCCGUAGAGGGCUGGGCUGGGCUGGGCUGGGCUGGACCAGGGCUUCUCUGCAGCACCUACUUUCUAUGCACAUGAGUGCCCCACUCCCCAGCAGAGCCCAGGGGAGACCCUGCCGGGGGCCCACAUCACACGGCUCAAGAUAGUCUUUUGUUGGUGCCAAUCUCCUAGGACACUGCCACCCUGGAAUGCGCACCUGCUUGCUAGCCUUGAAGCAGGGGCUCUCCAGUGGCCUUUGGCAGGAUCGUGGGAGGCUUCAUGACCCCUCCUUUCCUGGCUUCCCCACCUGCCCCACAGUAGGUGCCCAUCCCACUUUCCCCACAGGGCUACCUGCUCUGACUCAGCAGGGGCGCCAACCAGCCAGGCAGCCACCCUCUUGAAGUCCAGCCCUGCCAGAGCCAUCCGCUCCUCUUUCUUGUAGGCAUCUUCCCCUGGCAAAUUAGAUGUCCCAUGCACCUUGACUUCCUUCCUAAGAACAGUUUCUGAACCUGGCCUUGGAAAGAUGAGCCUCAGGCAAGUUCAAGCCCUGCUCUGUGGCUUCCCAGGGUCAGAAGAGGGUCCUGGCCAUUUGCUCUCCCUCCCCUCAGUGGCAUGGCUUCUGAGCAGUGCUUGAUGCCCCUUUCUCCUCCCCUGCUGCUUGGCUAGUAGAGGCUGCCUCUCAUCUCCAGCAGCCCUUGCUCCUCUUAAAAUCUUCCGGACAGGACCACCAGCGUCAGGCACCCAAGAAGCAAGGGCAGGUGCCAUCUUUGGGUGAUAGGGCCAGGGGGAUGCGGUCUUGGGAAGAACCUGUCCGUGUGCAUGGAGUGAAAGGUGUGGGUGUGCCCGCGCGUGCGUGCGUGCGUGCGUGCGUGUGUGUGUGUGUGUGCAUGCUUUUUCUUUUUGCCACGGUGACAUUGAAUUUGGGGCAUUUUUUUCUACAAGAAGCAGCCUUCUCUGCCCCAGUAAGGACUGGCUGUGACUUCAAGGCACUUUGAGCCUAGGAAAACCUCACCAAGACAGCCAGUGGCCUGGGGGCGCCAAGGUGGGAAGUGGGCAUGAGAGUAGACACCUCCCCAAAUUCAGUCCGGCCCCCAGCAGGAGAGCGCGGCGGGGUUGCCAGGGCUCAGAAAUGUAAACUGAUCCUCUCCCCUCCCCCACCUGCCUUGUGCCUCGGUUUCCCUUUGUACCCUUGGGUGAAUGCAGGGGCAGUGAUGGCUGCCCCUUCCACCUGGAUGGUGGUGUGUGUGGCGAGCAAGCUGGUCGGUGUGUGUGGUGGGGCCGAUGGGGCCUAGGAGGAGGUGAAGACGAGGAGGUCUUUCCUGACUGUAAAGAUGAAUAUUUGUAUGAUUAAAUUAACACACAAAAAAAGCUCUGCAUGUGUCUCUGAGUCUC
rnacentral:lncRNA from 1 species